UGCUGGGGUUGUCGCUGACUUUUGAAAAGGUCGUGCACACCUUGGUGCUCUCACACAUAAUCCAUCUCACCCCUUUUGUGCAUCACCGCGUGGGGACCCCUUUUGGCUAGUUCUGAGGGGGGUCUUCACGUUUUUACAUAGACACCCUUUUAAUGAAAUGUGUAGAAUGUCUUUACUUUUGCGAUCAUACGCAAUCAAUACAACUUUCAACAACGGAUCUCUUGGCUCUCGCAUCGAUGAAGAACGCAGCGAAAUGCGAUACGUAAUGUGAAUUGCAGAAUUCAGUGAAUCAUCGAAUCUUUGAACGCACCUUGCGCCCUUUGGUAUUCCGAGGGGCACACCCGUUUGAGUGUCGUGACAUUCUCAAAACCUUCUUGGUUUCUUGACCGGGAAGGCUUUGGACUUUGGAGGCUUUUGCUGGCCUUUCUUUGUUGAAGCCAGCUCCUCUGAAAUGAAUUAGUGGGGUCUGCUUUGCUGAUCCUUGACGUGAUAAGAUAUUUUCUACGUCUUGGGUUUCGCACUGUUCCUGCUUCUAACCGUCUCAUAGAAGACAAUGGUCAAGUGAUUGCCACUUGACCCACAAACCUUGACCUCAAAUCGGGUGAGACUACCCG
rnacentral:sRNA from 1 species